rnacentral:lncRNA from 1 species
UUUUGUGUGAGUAAAGUAUCAUAACUCAAAUAUGUUUUUUCUUCACCAGGAAUUAAAUCCAACAUAUAAUCAUUUAUUGUGUCGACUAUUGAAUUUUUAGGAGCUAGUAUAGCUCUAUUUUGGAAAUACGUUAUAUCGUUCAUGUUUUGUAAAAGUUGGGGAUAAGUGCUUUCAAUGAUAGAAGCAAGAGGAUCACCUGAAUUUGGAAUCAAUAAAUCUGAUGGAAUGUCAAGUUCUAAAUCAUCGUCGUUGUCAUCUCCAAUUUCUCCAUCGCCA